rnacentral:lncRNA from 1 species
CCCCCCCCCCCCCCCCCACGAGAUUGGAUAAAAUCUAUUUUGAAGACCAAUCCUUGAUGAAUGUGGGGCUCAGAUUGAGUGAAAUCAAUUCAACGCCUCACACUCAUCCACCAUUCGUCUUCCAGACCCUUCCAAUCGCAUGUUAAAACUCGAAUUCGAGCGAGUGAGAGGGGAGGGGAAUCUUGCAUCAGAAACCGUUAGCAACGGCAAGAUGAGAGAAGGAGGGACGCAUGGGUUAGAGAUUUGAGAUCACUCGCCAUGGUUUUGGCCUAAAAUGAGACUGGACUCGAGUGAAGAAGGCGAUUGAACAUUUCGUUUAGGAUUUAGGGCUCUAGGGG